rnacentral:rRNA from 1 species
CGAACGCUGGCGGCGCGUUUUAAGCAUGCAAGUCGAACGGUAGAAGGGAGCUUGCUCCCUUUGAGAGUGGCGAACGGGUGAGUAACACGUAGAUAAUCUGCCUUGAAGUUGGGGAUAGCCCAUGGAAACAUGGGGUAAUACCGAAUAAUCUGGUCAUCGUAAUGUUGAUUAGGAAAGGAGCUAAGGCUUCGCUUUAGGAUGAGUCUGCGGUUCAUUAGCUAGUUGGUGGGGUAAAGGCCUACCAAGGCGACGAUGAAUAGCCGGCCUGAGAGGGUGAUCGGCCACACUGGAACUGAGACACGGUCCAGACUCCUACGGGAGGCAGCAGCUAAGAAUCUUCCGCAAUGGGGGAAACCCUGACGGAGCGACGCCGCGUGUGUGAAGAAGGCCGUGAGGUUGUAAAGCACUUUUCUUAUUGAAGAAUAAUGCCGGGAGGGAAUGCCCGGCAGAUGACGUUAGAUGAGGAAUAAGCCACGGCUAAUUAC